ACCUUUUCGAGUUCCCACCUACAACAGUGGCACACCCGUUAGUCGUAUCAGCUCAUUUUCGCGUUGAAAAAUAAUUAUUAUAACCAGUGUCGGCGCGAAGGUAUAGUUUUUUUUUUAACGCCGAGGUUUGAUUCGAACAGUGGGCUAGUAUAGGCGGGUGGAUAUUGUUACGGAGAAAUAGAAUAUUGAUGAGUAGGUAAAUCCAGACAAAAUAAUUAUUAUAUUAUUCUAUAGAUUAUAUUAU